rnacentral:rRNA from 1 species
CUACGGGUGGCUCCAGUGAGGAAUUUUGCGCAAUGGGGGCAACCCUGACGCAGCAACGCCGCGUGAGUGAAGAAGGCCUUUGGGUCGUAAAGCUCUGUCAACUGGGAAGAGGUUAGAGUUGUUUAAUAGAUGACUCUAUUGACGGUACCAGUGGAGGAAGCGCCGGCUAACUCCGUGCCAGCAGCCGCGGUAACACGGGGGGCGCAAGCGUUAUUCGGAAUUAUUGGGCGUAAAGGGCGCGCAGGCGGUCUUGUCAGUCAGGUGUGAAAGCCCGGGGCUCAACCCUGGAAGUGCACUUGAAACAGCAAGACUGGAAUACGGGAGAGGAAAGCGGAAUUCCUGGUGUAGAGGUGAAAUUCGUAGAUAUCAGGAGGAACACCGAUGGCGAAGGCAGCUUUCUGGACCGAUAUUGACGCUGAGGCGCGAAGGCGUGGGUAGCGAACGGGAUUAGAUACCCGAGUAGUC